rnacentral:lncRNA from 1 species
UUUUUCUACAUGCUCUCUGUAUAAGAGAUGAAAGAUUGGUCUGUGCUUGCUCUCAGGUCGACUCCACUAUACCAGCAGACUGGUAGAUUCCCUAAAGAAAGAUACUCCCCUCCUUGGAGAACUUGUGAUUUGAAAGUCAGACAAGAAGCUCUGAACAGAGACACAGGCAGAAACGGAAAUUCUGUUUGAAAAGAAAUAUUUUGCCCUUUCAUGUGGAUUCUCACACUCUUGGUAUGUGUCUUGCCUGUGGAAGGCAAAGAAACAGCAGGUUUCAUCGCUGCCCCACACUCAUGUCUGUCUUCCAAGAAGGAGAAGAAAUUGUGACAAACCUUUCCUGGUGCCAGCUCUGCCGUGGGUUUCCUGCUCCUGAAUGCACUGCAGUUGCCUUCCCCAGAGCCGGAGUAAGAGCCAGUCAAACAAUGCUGGACCUACAGCCCACUGUGUCAUCAGUUCAGACCUGA